rnacentral:rRNA from 1 species
ACGCACGCUGGCGGCGUGCUUCACCCCUGCAAGUCGAACGGAAAGGCCCUGCUUUUGUGGGGUGCUCGCGUGGCGAACGGGUGAGUAACACGUGAGUAACCUGCCCUUGACUUUGGGAUAACUUCAGGAAACUGGGGCUAAUACCGGAUAGGAGCUCCUGCUGCAUGGUGGGGGUUGGAAAGUUUCUGCGGUUGGGGAUGGACUCGCGGCUUAUCAGCUUGUUGGUGGGGUAGUGGCUUACCAAGGCUUUGACGGGUAGCCGGCCUGAGAGGGUGACCGGCCACAUUGGGACUGAGAUACGGCCCAGACUCCUACGGGAGGCAGCAGUGGGGAAUAUUGCACAAUGGGCGGAAGCCUGAUGCAGCAACGCCGCGUGCGGGAUGACGGCCUUCGGGUUGUAAACCGCUUUCGCCUGUGACGAAGCGUGAGUGACGGUAAUGGAUAAAGAAGCACCAGCUAACUACGUG